rnacentral:snoRNA from 1 species
GUGGCUGAAAGGGUUCGGCGCAGAGCCGUGAAGAAAAGCCCUACACGAGGA